rnacentral:rRNA from 1 species
GAACGCUAGCGACAGGCCUAACACAUGCAAGUCGAGGGGGCAGCGGGGAUGAAGCUUGCUUCAUCUGCCGGCGACCGGCGCACGGGUGAGUAACACGUAUGCAACCUGCCCGCCACAGGGGGAUAAACGCUGGAAACGGCGCCUAAUACCCCAUACUAUCGCUAUGCUGCAUGGCAUGGCGAUGAAAACUCCGGUGGUGGCGGAUGGGCAUGCGGCGCAUUAGCUGGUUGGGGGGGUAACGGCCCACCAAGGCGACGAUGCGUAGGGGUUCUGAGAGGAAGGUCCCCCACACUGGUACUGAGACACGGACCAGACUCCUACGGGAGGCAGCAGUGAGGAAUAUUGGUCAAUGGGCGGGAGCCUGAACCAGCCAAGUCGCGUGAGGGAAGACGGCCCUACGGGUUGUAAACCUCUUUAGUCGGGGAGCAAAAAGGAUCACGCGUGGUCCAUUGAGCGUACCCGAAGAAUAAGCAUCGGCUAACUCCGUG